GCUGCCUACAGGACAGAGCAUGAACUGAAGAAAAGAAAAGAAUCAUGCUGACUUUACUCUUUGAGCUCCAGCUCCCCUGGCUGAGAGGAGGCAGCCUGCUCCCAGGAGAUAGGGCAGGGAAUAGGAGUCACUAGUGCUGACUGGGGUUCAAAUCCUGACCCUGGGAUGUACCAGGUAUGUGACCUUGAAGCAACUGUCUAUACCAGGGGUUGGCAAAUAAUUUCUUUUUUCCUUUUUUUUUUUUUUUUUUUGAGCCAGGUCUCGCUCUGUCACCUAGGCUGUGGUGCAGUGGCGUGAUCAUGGCUCACUGCAGCCUCAGCCUCAGCCUCCUGGGCUCAAAUGAUCCUCUUUCCUCAGCCUCCUAAGUAGCUGGGACUAUAGGUGCAUGCCACCAUCCACCAUGCCUGACCUUUUUUUGGGCAGUUUUGUAGAAGUGGGGUUUUGCCAUGUUACCCAGGCUGAUCUCAAACUCCUGGGCUCCAAUGAUCCACCAGCCUUGACCUCCAGAGUCCUGGGAUUACAGGAAAGACAACGUCUGAAAAUUCUGCCCGAUGGAUGGAGAGAAGCAUCCUGGCAAGAGACACGGCGCUGCCGGACGAAGAGAUGUACUCCUGACAGAACUGGGACUGUUCACCCAAAGUCUGGGAAUUCAGCCAAAAAUUCCUGAAGGAUGAAUUCCUUUUCCUCGGCCAGGCUGACGUUUGAGCACACAUCGCCCUCUUGUGUCUGUGACACAUUUGGCAAGGUCGUUUCUAGCAGCUGCUAACACACAGCAAAAUGAAACCUUGUAAUAGCUCUGAAGCCUACAGACCUCACUCAGUACAAGGCGGAGGGAGAACAAACCGCCAAUUUUCCCAGAAUAGUCAAGAACAUCCGGAAGACUCCAGAAUUUGUGAAGAUGGUACUAAUAACUACCCAACCCAGAGCUUUGAAAGUUAAAAAAUGUAUACGGUGCAAUAAAAUUCAUAUUCAAGAGCUCA
rnacentral:lncRNA from 13 species